UCAGGCGGUAAAGAGACUGAAGAUAAGAAGAGAAUUGACUGUUUAGAGAAUGUGCUGUUCUGUUUGAAGGAAUGAUACAGCUUUGAUGUAGCUAUAGCUGGAGACUGAACUGUGAAACCACUUACAUCUGUGAGUGCAGUGGUCGCGAAUCGGAGCCAGGCUGUUGCGCGUCAGGGCUGAUUCUCGUGUUCUCAGUGGUACAAGGUGAGCAUUUGCAGCUGUUGAAAAAGGGUGUGUGGUUGGAGCAAAGAACGUCUAUCGGACUUGUUGUUUCACGCAACAGUUUAUCCAACAAUCUUUCAGAUGGAGGUCAUGCUCACUCUUGCUUUUCUGCGAUCUGUGGGCCAGAUGACUGACCAUCUGCCCUGAGACAGUUCUGUGUGCCGCAGUAUGUGAGUUGGCUAACAGAGAGUUUCCCAGCGUGAUCGGUGGAAGACUCUGCGUGCGUAUGGGCGGCAGGCUCUUGUAGUCCUUGGCUGGAGGGUCCUCAAGCAGAUGGAGCUUUUCGGGCUCGUUGAGGUGCUUUCUGCUCUCCUCCUUG